UUACUAUUCAAGUAGCAGUUUAAUUAUUUUCUAGCUAGAGCAUAUUUUUCAUACAUACAGAUCCAAGUACACACAGAAUAAACAUCCAGUAUGGUUUUGUAUUCAACAAACUCUUCAAGUUACAUGCUUAGGAAGUUUGGGUUCAUUUAUGUUGUUUUCAUUCCACUGUAUUUAUAAUUAUUCUUGUGUCAGGCAAAUGCCACUCUUGGUUUCCCUUAAAAUUACUCAUUUCUUCUGGGGUUUUAUCACAUCUUUGUACAACCUUUUUUUAAGAGGCCACCACUAUCUCCUGAUUUGUUUUUCCUUUGUUUUUUGUCAUCUAAAGCAUUUUUGUGAUGAAAGACAAAUUGUGAAUUGCAUGACAAAUAAAGGUAAGCCAGUGGGAAUUCACCCUGAAUAUAGACUGCCAGACAGGCGAUUAUGUUAUGCUUAACAGCUAUCAUUUACUUGAUUUUGUUUUUUCUUCUGCAAAACUGAAUUCAGCUAUUUUCAUUCUUCUGAGAGUCAUUUUGAUUUUGAUUUGAAUCAUUUAUUGCACGAUAAAGUGCAUAAACACUUCUGAUAUGUUGCCCAGUCUGGGAGAAUUGUUUCUGUCUCCAUUUUUAUAGAUGUGGAUCACCUCCAUGUAACAAAGAGAUAUAAAGUACUGCCAAAUAUCCCUGUUUCUGAAAAGGGAUAGAAAUGGUCUUGUUGAGUCCAUAAAGGCAAGCCUAGCCUCCAACAAACAUAAUGUUUCCCAAAGGCUGGAAGGACAAGCACAAAUAUAAAAGAAAUAAUCGUAUCCCAUAUAUCUCACUGUUGGUUGCUACAAGCAUAAGUCUGAGCGAAUUUCAAACAUCUGUGUUCAUAGACAGCUCUUGGGGAGUGAUGAUGUGAAAGUCUGGGGCAGGUCUGUUAGUGUACAGGCAGAGAACCUCCACUACCAGCAUUUAUCUCAGUGUAUGUCUCCUUAAGUAGCCAUCAUCAUUGCUGAAAAAAACUACAGGUAUUAUUGUCUUCAAUGUGAAAGAUUGCAAUCACUAGGAUAACCCUUGUAAGGGAAGAGUUGUAGAACAGGGUCUAAGGUGUUAUCCCUAAAGCAUAGCUUACAAGUGCUCGGCAUUUAAGAAUAAAGUAGACUUGACCUCCACUGAGUGCCUGAGGAGCAGCCAGGAGCCCUCCUGCAGAGGAAGACUGGUGCACUGCAUGGCAGUUUGUAGAACAUUUAUUCCAAAGCUGAUGCUAAAGGCAUCCUGGAAAAACAAUCUGGGAAAUGGCCCAACUGAAUGGUUAAUGCCUUUCAAACUGCAGACAGGAGAAAAUCCCUGCCCAGAAGCAGCUGACUGCAGCAGUAGUUGAUUGGCAGCUUUUUGGGGCUAUUGAAGAGGGUCUAUUCCACAUUUUGGUUUUUGCAAAGUAAAUAAUUUCUUUUAGAACCUUGCUCAGAUUGUAAGCAUAGAAAGGUCUUGAAUCAGGACAGUACCUGAACGUAAAAGAUUAAGGUAAAGUCAGGACAGCACUUUCCUGCGUUUGAAGUAGUACACCUAAUAGGUCUAUUUCCUUCAACUGGAUUAAAGCUAUGAUCCACAGUACUGAAAAUCCCAUCUUCAAAAUUUAUCCGGUUGGAAAAACAUCAGACUUGUUUAAAAGUUGUAAGAUUUGAAGCCUUGCAUUUUUUAUUUACUUUCUAUUUUAUUCUUUAGGCUGUAUUUCUGAAGCAGCUUCAAAUCUUUCCAUGAGAUCAGAAGAGCUCAAAAUGUACUCAGAAAUUAAUAUUUCUCCGCAAUUUCUUGCUGCUAGCAUUUGGGGCUUGAAGAGAAAGCAUUAACAGUUGUGAUACUUGCAAUAACAUUACAAGAAUAGGAAAAGCUGGCUCUGCUUUUUCCCUCAUCCUAAAAGCAAAAAGAACUGGGAAAAAAGGACAGCCAUUUCAUGCAUGUGCAUAUAUGCAAUCUGUCUGUCUCAUAGGUUUUGCUUUUGAACACUCUCAGCAGUCACAGAUGGCUUGGCUAAUGGUCCUUUAUAACAGAACUAUUUAUUUCCUCUCCCUUUAUAUACAAAAGCUACUUAAGAUGCAUCUUUUCAUUCUUUUUCCAAGAUGCAUAGAGUAUCUUACCUUAUAGAGGCAAUAGCUCAGCUGAAAAGAAGUACAUCAUGUCACGGUUCAUGUGAAAAACCAUGCUGUUUGAAAAAAGCCUGUAUAUUUCUUCAGUCAUUUAAAGAUAAAGCAAGAAUGACAAAAGACAGCUGUUGUAGAGGAGGAGACAAAAAGAAAUCAAAGGAAGGAACAU
ensembl:lncRNA